UACAGAGGGGGCAAGCGUUGUUCGGAUUUACUGGGCGUAAAGGGCGCGUAGGCGGCGCGGUAAGUCACUUGUGAAAUCUCUGAGCUUAACUCAGAACGGCCAAGUGAUACUGCAGUGCUAGAGUGUGGAAGGGGCAAUCGGAAUUCUUGGUGUAGCGGUGAAAUGCGUAGAUAUCAAGAGGAACACCUGAGGUGAAGACGGGUUGCUGGGCCAACACUGACGCUGAGGCGCGAAAGCUAGGGGAGCAAACGGG
rnacentral:rRNA from 1 species